ensembl:Y_RNA Y_RNA Y RNA
GACUGGUUCAAUGGUAGUGUGUUUUCAGACCUUAUUAACAUUAGUGUCACUAAAGUUGGUAUACAACCCCCCCACUGCUAAAUUUGACUGGCUCUAA